CGAGUCAUAUGCUGCCUCGAAGCGAAGAAGCACUUGCCUGUUCGACGACUACUAAGCAAGCAGAGCAGGAUUGAACCGGCUCUCAGGCCAACAACUGGAGCCGGAACUUAAACAAGGAAGGUACUUCUACUUGAUUUGGUCGCUAAUGCUGCAGUUUCUCGAAAUGGAACACCCGCAAGAGGCGCCGCCCCGUACCUUAUACCUGAAAAUAAAUAGAAAUAUGAAGAUAAAAAUACAGGAUGAAACAGACGAAGAAGAAAUAAUUGAGGAAUACCCAGAGAAAAACACUGUGAAUAAAAAAUACAGUUUCUCAAAAUGGAACACCCGGCCCAGAAAAGGUACCACUACUUGAUCCAUAGCUUACCCUGCUGUUUUCCCACGGAUGAAACAGACGAAGAAGAAGAAAUAAUUGAAGAAUACCCGCAAAAAGAAACUAGGAGGAAAAAAGUACGGGAUGAAAUAGACGAGAUCGAACAAUACCCGCAAAAACAAAAUUACUCUGUUCGGCAGCUCCAGCAGCCUCCAGUCCAACAGUAUUUUCCUCUCACACCGCUCUAGCACCAGCUUCCAGCCACCAACCGGUCAACAGUAUUUUUCUCUCACACCACUCCAGCUACCUGCUCCAGCUCCAGCCCAGCAAACAGAGUGAAUAUGAAGAAGACAAUAAAGGUACUAUGGAGACCCAAAGCCCAAAUACACCAUACUGCCUACAAUACUUUUUACUUACGUCUACUUGAUUUGGUCGCUAAUGCUGCAGUUUCUCGAAAGGUGUUGUUACAGCGAUAGAGGUGUGGAAUCGCUACCUAAACACGAACCACUUACUGUUGUCAUUGAUUUCCUUAGCUAAGUAAUUGUAUUUUAUUUGAUUGCUGUGUGUGGACUCGGCCAAUUGACAAGUUGGAGGAGAGGAAGGCGGCCAUGGCACACAGGCCUAUCUACAGGUAUUAGGUAACGGUGUCACUUCCCUGGAGAGGUGAAGGCCACGGGACAGCAUCCGCCCGGCCGGGAAGACCUACAUGCAACAAGACCUGCAGGCAGCCAAAUUUGUAGACUUGAAACACCAAGAAAAGGUAGUAGUAGCAGAGCAGUGGCGUCCGAAGCAGGGCGGAUCGAUCCAGCGCUGGAAGCCUACAGAUCAGCACCCCUUAGGUUUCCCCCAUUGUUACUCCCAUGGAUGAAGCAGACGAGGAAGAAAUAAGGAGGGCAACAUAUGUGAAUCCACCUGUAUGUAUAUCGUGCAAAAGAGGAUAUAAAACUGUUCUCCAUAUAUAGUCUCCUUCGUCAUAUAUAGUUUUGCAUGUUGCAUAUGGAAAUGAAAUAUCGUAUUGUGAUA